CGGGGGCAUGGGUGGACUCCCCGUUGAGGCUUCGGCCCAAGUUCCGC
rnacentral:ncRNA from 1 species